UAUUUGCAGCAACAAUGUACUCGUACAUGCACUGAGAGUGCAGCAGCACUGAGCUACCUGGGCAUAGUAGCAUGGCUCAGCCGCGCCUCCAGGUGCUCGCCGCCGCGGCCCUGGUCCUGGCGCUGGCGGCUGGCGGCCGGCGGCGGCGCCACCGCGUUCGAGUUCGAGGAGGCCACCGUGGACGCCAUCCAGCUGGGCUUCAGGAACGGCAGCCUCACCUCGGCGGCGCUCGUCCGGUUCUACCUGGACCGGAUCGCCCGCCUCAACCAGCAGCUCCGCGCCGUCAUCGAGGUGAACCCGGACGCGCCCGCGCAGGCGGCGCGCGCCGACGCCGAGCGCGCGGCGUCGGGCGGGCGCUGCGCCGCGGGGCUGCACGGCGUCCCCGUCCUGCUCAAGGACAACAUCGCCACGCGCGACCGCCUCAACACCACCGCCGGCUCCCUCGCGCUGCUCGGCUCCGUCGUCCGCCGCGACGCCGGCGUGGCCGCCCGCCUCCGCCGCGCCGGCGCCGUCAUCCUCGGCAAGGCCAACCCCUCCGAGUGGUCCGGCUUCCGACCGGUCGAUCCCGGCUGGAGCGCCCGCGGCGGCCAGACGAAGAAUCCGUACGUGCUGUCGGUGACGCCGUGCGGGUCGAGCGCCGGGCCUGGCGUCGCGGCGGCGGCGAACAUGGCGGCCGUGACGCUGGGAUCGGAGACGGCCGGCUCCAUAAUCUGCCCGUCGGUGCUCAACUCCGUGGUUGGGAUCAAACCAACUGUCGGGCUGGCCAGCCGGUCCGGCGUCAUCCCCAUCACGCCUCGCCAAGACACCAUCGGGCCGAUGUGCCGGACGGUGUCCGAUGCCGUCCAUGUGCUGGACGCCAUUGUCGGCUACGAUGCGCUCGAUGCUGAGGCUACUGGAGCAGCUUCCAAGUACAUCCCGCAUGGGGGUUACAGGCAGUUCCUGAGGAUCGAUGGACUAAGGGGCAAGAGGAUUGGUGUCCUCAAAGGGUUCUUUGAGCAGUAUGAACCUGAGCCCCGGAAGGUCUAUGAGAAGCAUCUCAGCACGAUGAGGCAUCACGGUGCCAUCGUGAUAAAGGAUCUUGACCCCGCAGGGAAUUGGAGCGAUCUCGGGGACCAAAUGGGCCUUCUGAUGAAUGCAGAGUUCAAGUUGAGCCUGAAUGCUUAUCUGAAGGAUCUGCUGUACUCUCCGGUCCGCUCCCUCGCACAAGUCAUAGCAUUCAACAAUGCACAUCCAGUAGAGGAGAGGCUUAAAGAUUUUGGGCAGGCCGAUCUCAUCGCGGCCGAGAAGACCAGCGGCAUCGGCGCAGCGGAGAGGGCUGCGCUCCGGCGGCUCAACGAGCUGUCCACGGUCGGCCUGGAGAAGACGUUUAAAGAGCACCGGCUGGACGCCGUCGUGGUGGUCAACAACGACCUCUCCGCCGUCCUUGCCAUCGGCGGCUAUCCCGGCAUCGCCGUGCCGGCUGGGUACAGCGAGGAGGGAGUCCCCUUUGGGAUAGUCUUCGGCGGGCUCAGGGGCUACGAGCCCAGGCUGAUCGAGAUGGCCUACGCGUUCGAGCAGGCUACCAAAAUCAGAAGGCCGCCGGCUUUCAGGCAUUAGCCUAAAAAUAGCCAGUAGUGGCUUGCCGCAAGAAAUUGGGAAAAUUCCCUGGCCUUAGAAGAAAUGACGCUCUCUUCUAUGGCUCUGAAAAGUUCAGCCUCCUUUUUUGACCAUGUUUUUAUUUUACAUCCCUUCUAUGACCUUGCCGUCACACACGUUAGCCUAUUCCAUUAGGAUUCCUAGUGGAACAAGAGAAAUUGAAUUUUGUAGACCAAAAUACCCCCAGAAGGCUCAUCCACACGCCCCCAACCCUAUCAGCGCCUCCACCCCUGCGCCUCCAGCCCGAGUUCCUCUCCUCCAUCUCGGGACGCGUGGCCUCUGGACUCUGCGGGCGGUGGCAGACGGCGGUGGUCAUGGUGCCCACGACCUGCGCCACGAGGAGGAACGCGAUGGCGGCCACGCCCAGCUAGAAGGUGGAGCUCCUGGGCAGCGAGCUGGACGCCGUGUGCGCGGCGCGCGUGCUGGGCCGCGGCGACAUGGCGUUCCCCGCCGGUGGCAUGGCCGGCAUCGGAGCCAGCGGCACCGCGGGCAAGGCGGACAGGAGGGACUGGGGCGCGCGGCGGCGCAGCGGGAGGCCGCGGGGGACCUCGCCAGCGACGGGCGCAUCUACGGUGCGGCAGCCACGGCGGCGUUCCGGCGGUGGCGGCGCCGAGAGCUGAUGGGAAGGGGGCCAGUGAGAAAGAGGAGGAUGCGGCGGAGCUCACCGAGAGCUCGAAUCGGGCGGACGAAGGCCGGAAGCAGGGGGUCGGCGGCGGGGCUUCUCCGGCCGGCCGGAAAUCAGUCAAUUCCGCCCGGGAAAGGGCUCGGCGACGGUGCCAUCAGCUCGCCUCGGCUUCUGUUCGGUGUACAGAGGGGAAGGGGGAGUCUUCUACAGCCUACGUGCUGCGCGGCGGGGGACGCGUCGCGCGCAACCGGAGGCUGACGGCCGGAACCUGCUCAGCUGGCCCCUGCGGCUGCGGGGCUGCCUGCCGCCCUGCCUGCGGCCCUACGCGAGCUGCGAGCGGCGGCCGACGGCAAGGCACAAGGCGGCGGCAGGGAGCGCCAGAGCGGGGACUCGACGCCGAGGCCGAGGAUGAGGAGGUUGCAGGGCGCGUGGUGGAGAAGAAUGAAGGUAGGGGCAUUUUUGUCUUUUCAUAGCCACUUAAUUGGGAGUUAACUGAAGAUCUCACGGUAGGGCCAUAGAAGGGAUGCAAAAUAAAAACAUGGUCAAGGAAGGGAGGCCGAACUUUUUAGGGUCAUAGAAGGAGUGUCAUUUCUUCUAGGGCCACAUAGGAAAUUUGCCCCAAGAAAUUGCGAUUACUCUUCUGCAUGGUAAUAAGGCAAAAGUGUAUUUUUCAUCCUUUAAGUAUUGCUAAAGUGUGACAUUCAUCCCUCAUGUUUCAUUUGGUGCAAAUCAAUCCCUUAACUAGCUAAAAUGGUGCAUUUAUCAUCCCACUUAGCUUAUUUUAACAAUGGUGUAGUGUCAUGUAAUAUUGGUUUAGGUCAUGUAAUUAUCUCACUAAUCAUGGCCUAGCAACAUCUAAUGGUAAGUCAAUCGCUAUAAUAAUUUGAUGUGAAUCGGUUAAGUUAAUUUUUUGGAUAAAAUUUUUAUGGAGUACCCAAUUUAGAGAAUUUACUGAUUUUUAGGCUUUAGAGCAUCUCCAAGAGUCUUUCUAAAUUUUACUCUCUAAAUUAUCAUUUGGAGAGUCAUGUACAUAAAAAUCGCUCUCUAUACAUCUUUGGCGAGCGAGGAAUCCGGAAUAGACGAUUAGGAUGAAUAUAAAGAGUCUCUUGGAGUUGCUCUUAUAUCUUCAACUCAGCAUAUUACAUUGCUAAGUGGAGAUUAGUCAAAUGAUAGUGUGGCAUAAACUACCAUUAGAUUGUACUAAACCAUUCUUAAACUAAGGUGGGGAUGAUAAAUGCACCAGUUUAGUUAGUUAAGGGGUUGAUUUGCACCAAAUGAAAUAUGAGGGAUGAAUGCCACACUUUUGUAAUACUUCAAGAAUGAAAAAUACACUUUUUCCUGGUAAUAAUGGGCCGCAUUCUGAAGGUGAAAACCUUGUGUGAUCUGCUCUGUUUACAGCGGCUACAUCCUGAUUCUCAUAGUCCUUUUCAGUCAGAGCUGAAUAUUGUUAUUGUGAAUUUCAUGUUUGUGGUCAUGACUGAUGAGCUAUGGAACGUUCUGGGGACAUUCGGAAUUGCGAUUACGGGUUUUGUGAA